CCGCGCUAUGCGGGGAGUUAGCGAUGCCCUGUCAUCCGCAAUUCGCUCAGCGGAGCAGAAUACCGUUUUAGGCUUGUCCUGUGGAAGGUUGCGCGGCGUAAGGAACGUUGAUUUUAAGGUCUUAUGCAACGGAAACCCGCGAACCGCGUCAGGGCAGGAAUGCAGCAGCGCUAAACGGUCACUUUCGUGUGCCAUAAGGUUGCUUUAGAGGAGUCACCUGCGCCGUUUCCGCUUCGGCUCGACCUGUCGAGAACGGUUGC
rnacentral:SRP_RNA from 1 species